UCUACGUCUUCCGACGAUCGCACAGAGAGAACUAUGGCACUUUUCGAACCCUGAACGUUCCGAACGUAAGUAUAUCGUUGCUUAAAAUCCAUAGCGGCAUCGAAAGUAAAUUCACUGAAAUCUGGGAGAGGAAGUUCUCAAGAUAUGACGCCAUAAGUUCAUUGUGUACUUCUGACAAUGCAAUCUACAUUGUACUUUUUUUUAUCAAAUUCUGAUUGUUGCCACUUGCCUUCCCAACGAUAAUCGAAAACGGGACCCAUGGGUCGCAUCGUGGAAUCGACGACAUCCCAGCCAUCUGAAUUUUCCCAUGCGAGGGUACACUGUCCGCUCAGGUUCCGGAGUGCACAAUCGGACGGAUCGAUCUGCAUCGAUUUUUUCGGCAGAAAAUCUGAAAAUUUUAGCGAUCAUCGUUAAUAAUAUCUGUGGAAGAUCAAGUCGAAAAUCAGGAAUGGGCCGAGGUCUGACUGUCCACCGUAUUACCGGUCUACUCUAAUACCAAUCGCCUGAAAAUUGUACGAGCCCCAAAAUUCUCACUUCCAGUGGUGAUAUUCCGAUCGUAAUUCCAAAUCAAAGCAGCGUUGUCGUCCUCAGUCAUGCAGGUCAGCUUUAUUUCGCUCCCAUUAUCAGUUGAAGGAUGGCGAAGUAAAACGAGAUAUCCGAAAUUAGGCAACGCCAUUGACACCAGAUAAAAUCCGAAGAAGACAAUGUACGUGAAUGAAGUAGCCAUUGGGUGGAUGAAAUUAUGCUUCACCGACAAAGUUGAAAAUAUUUUUAUGGUACCAGCUCCUCUUCGCAGAGUUUCGUUUUUUUUUUUUUAAGUUGCAAGUAAGUUAAAAUGUAAGGUCGAUCCGAAUUAUUGAGUUUUUCACCGAACCAA